rnacentral:rRNA from 1 species
CAAUAGCGUAUAUUAAAGUUGUUGCAGUUAAAAAGCUCGUAGUUGGAUUUCUGGUGGGAGCGAUCGGUCUGGCGCUUAGCGCGAGUACUUGCAUCGUCUCCGGCCAUCCUUGGGGAGAGUCUGUCUGGCAUUAAGUUGUCGGGCAGAGGAUCCUCAUCGUUUACUGUGAAAAAAUUAGAGUGUUCAAAGCAGGCUUAUGCCGUUGAAUAUAUUAGCAUGGAAUAAUAAGAUAGGACUUUGGUACUAUUUUGUUGGUUUGCGCACCAAAGUAAUGAUUAAUAGGGACAGUUGGGGGUAUUCGUAUUCCGUUGUCAGAGGUGAAAUUCUUGGAUUUACGGAAGACGAACAUCUGCGAAAGCAUUUGCCAAGGAUGUUUUCAUUGA